AAAGUUGUUGCAGUUAAAUAGCUCGUAGUUGAAUCUUGGGCCUGGUUUGGCGGUCGCGCUCUAGGGCGUGUACUGUCGGCCGGGUCUUUUACUUGCGGGGAACGUGCGUGCCUCUCGGGGUGUGUACGGGAACCGUGGCUAUUACUUUGAAAAAAUUAGAGUGUUUAAAGCAGGCGUAAGCUUGUAUACAUUAGCAUGGAAUAAUAGAAUAGGACUUUGGUUUUAUUUUGUUGGUUUCUAGGGCCGAAGUAAUGAUUAAUAGGGAUAGUUGGGGGCAUUAGUAUUUAAUAGUCAGAGGUGAAAUUCUUGGAUUUAUGAAAGACUAACUUCUGCGAAAGCAUUUGCCAAGGAUGUUUUCAUUAAUCAAGAACGAAAGUCAGGGGAUCGAAGAUGAUCACGAAUCUAGUAGAGAUCCUGUUAUCG
rnacentral:ncRNA from 1 species